rnacentral:lncRNA from 13 species
CAUAUGUCUUAUAUAAACAUACAUCUUCAUUUAUUUCUCUUAGGUUGUUACUUAGGAGUGGAAUUAUUGGGUCAUAUGGUGACUCUCUGACAUUUUGAGAAACUACAAGACUGUUUUCCAAUAUUAUCCUAUCCACCAGACAACCAAAUCUACUAAAGAAGCAUCUGCAUCUACUUCUGAAGUGAGUUGUUAUUUUGAAGAGUGUGUAGUUGAAGAUAACAGCGUAACCCAAACAGCUACCAAAGCUCUGACCCAUCAUCAACUGGAAGCACAUCUGGAAUGAUCCUACCUGUGGUGAUGGUGGUGAUUUUAAAUCAUGCCAUGAGCGAUAGCAUUGAAUAGAAUUGUAAGUAGGUUCAAGAAGAUAUUAAAACAUUGACUAAGUUUUAAGGAAAAAAUGGCACUACACAUUUAAAGCAUCACUGAAGGAAG